AUUGAACGCUGGCGGCAGGCCUAACACAUGCAAGUCGAGCGGAUGAAGGGAGCUGCUUCUUGAUUCAGCCGGGGGACGGGGAGGUAUGCCUAAGAAUUCUCCCGGUAGUGGGGGGUUACGUCCGGAAACGGGCCCCAAUACCCCCUAACGUCUGAGGGAGAAAGGGGGGGAACUUCCGAACCUCCCCCAUCAAAUUAGCCUAGGUUGGAUUAGCUAGUUGGUUGGGUAAAGGCCUACCAAGGCGACGAUCCGUAACUGGUCUGAGAGGAUGAUCAGUCACACUGGAACUGAGACACGGUCCAGACUCCUACGGGAGGCAGCAGUGGGGAAUAUUGGACAAUGGGCGAAAGCCUGAUCCAGCCAUGCCGCGUGUGUGAAGAAGGUCUUCGGAUUGUAAAGCACUUUAAGUUGGGAGGAAGGGCAGUAAGUUAAUACCUUGCUGUUUUGACGUGACCAACAGAAUAAGCACCGGCUAACUUCGU
rnacentral:rRNA from 1 species